UGAAGCACAAGAAACAACUAAAACCAAAGA
rnacentral:piRNA from 1 species